AUGGCUGUCGUCAGCUCGUGUCGUGAGAUGUUGGGUUAAGUCCCGCAACGAGCGCAACCCUUGUCAUUAGUUGCUACAUUCAGUUGGGCACUCUAAUGAGACUGCCGGUGACAAACCGGAGGAAGGUGGGGAUGACGUCAAGUCCUCAUGGCCCUUAUGGGUAGGGCUUCACACGUAAUACAAUGGCGCGUACAGAGGGCUGCUAAGCCGCGAGGUAGAGCCAAUCCCUUAAAGCGCGUCGUAGUCCGGAUUGCAGUCUGCAACUCGACUGCAUGAAGUCGGAAUCGCUAGUAAUCGCGGAUCAGCAUGUCGCGGUGAAUACGUUCCCGGGUCUUGUACACACCGCCCGUCACACCAUGGGAGUGGGUUUCACCAGAAGCCGGUCGCUUAACCGCAAGGAUGGCGCCGACCACGGUGAGAUUCAUGACUGGGGUGAAGUCGUAACAAGGUAGCCGUAUCGGAAGGUGCGGCUGGAUCACCUCCUUUCUAAGACAGCACUACUCAGUGCCCACCCUCUAUCGGCUGUCAUUUGAACGGCGGCGGCGAUUUCAUAGCGACAUUCGUUUUUCAUGUCGACCCAAGCGGGUCUGUAGCUCAGUUGGUUAGAGCACCGUCUUGAUAAGGCGGGGGUCGAUGGUUCGAAUCCAUCCAGACCCACCAGAUCCUCUUCGCUCUUUAAAAAUACGGGAUGGAAGGUAAAGUUGUUCUCGUUCACGAGAACGCGUGUUUGCAUGAGCGCGAGUCGAGUGGCGAGGGCUAACUGGGUUAUGUAUUGCAUCGUGUCCUCACGCGUUUCAUGGGUGAGGUGCACAAACUUAAGCGUGAGAGUUACCUAUGGCGUUGUGAUGGCUCGCGGCGACUUUGGCUGCGGUCGCUUCUUUCUUCGGAAGGAGGCAGCAAGGUUAUAGGGUCAAGCGAAUAAGUGCAUGUGGUGGAUGCCUUGGCAAUGAUAGGCGACGAAGGACGUGACAGCCUGCGAUAAGCUGCGGGGAGCCGGCAAAUGGGCGCUGAUCCGCAGAUUUCCGAAUGGGGAAACCCGG
rnacentral:sRNA from 1 species